rnacentral:RNase_P_RNA from 1 species
UGGGUCGUCAAGACGUACAAAAUAGUACGUCGUCGACACAAGCGAGGAGCAAGCUGAAAAUAGACGAAAUAAGAACGUUCUCUUGGGGAGGAAAGUCCGAACACCCUUUAUGCAGCAAUGCAUAUCGCAGAAAAGGCGUUGCUAACAGCAACCGCGCGUAAGCGUAGGGAAAGUCUCGUGCAAACGAAAGGAUGCGCGGGGUCAGAACCUGCUGGAAACGGCAUGCAAUGACGCAACAGAGACAUUCAAACCCGCCCUGAUUCGUUCGAGCGGGCAAAAGGUGAAACGUGUGGGGUGCGCAAGCUUCCCCGCUCCCUGCAUGGUGACAUGCAGUGGUGGCAAACCCGCCUUGGUGCAAGAGCAAAUUUGGUAGCUCGCGCUGAGCAUGCUGGCGACAGUAUGCCAAGAGAGAUGAUCGUCCACGACAGAAUUCGGCUUAUCAGUUGACCAGGUAU